rnacentral:lncRNA from 1 species
UAAUGAUGAUGGUAAAUAUCUUUUUAUAAUCUUUUCUCUUUUGAAGUGCAUGUCUUUGUUUACAUUUUCUUAUUGUCCUCAUUACUGAUGACAAGUUAUUGCACUGGCACUUCUUAAUUGCAACUUGUCUUAUGAAUGAACUUAUACAUCUUUCAAUCCUAAAAAAAUACUGACAAUGUGAUCUAGCUUCAUGAGAAACAAAUCAUCUGGUUUUUUUUAGAUUAGUUAUUGUAUUUAUGAGUUUAUGACAUAUUGACUAUACACUGUGUUUCUUGAGGGUGUC